rnacentral:misc_RNA from 1 species
AGGGUUUUCAAGUGGCCCAGCAUGGAAAUCAUUCUCAAUGAGGCUGAAGCUCAUGCUUCUUUAAAGCAUUUAUGUUUCAGCCCUGAUGGCAAGUUUCUUGUUUCCUUGGGAAGUCGUGGUCCUGGAAGGGUUUGGAAUAUGACUUCUUCAACAGUAGUAGCUUCUUUAUCAAAGGACAAUGAUGAGGUUUUUGCCUCAUGCAGUUUUUCUCAAAGCAGUGAUAAGACUCAGGU